rnacentral:lncRNA from 1 species
AUUUCAUAGUGGACCUCAGAUUUAUCUUCGAGGGCAGACAACUGGAGGUGGGUCGUACACUUGGCUCUUAUGGCGUACUAAACGAAUCUACUAUUCAUGCAGUUCAACGUCUACGUGGUGGAGCUCCACCUGAAGAUGAAGAUGUAGAAAGCUCCAAGAGUGCAUAUAGGGAAGUAUUAGCUUCAACGCAGCACACUGAGCCAGAACCCAAUACAUCAUGUUUGAUUUUGUAGUUCAGUGCAUCCUCAUAUAAAUCCAACACAUUGUACAAAUAUGAAAAAUAUAAACAGUCACAAUGAACUGCUCAGCUGUACCUGUAAACACCACGUGUAGCUAAAGACUCAGCAGUUGAC